AUUGAACGCUGGCGGCACGCCUAACACAUGCAAGUCGAGCGGCAGCAUGCUUAGUAGCAGUACUAAGUGAUGGCGAGCGGCGGACGGGUGAGGAACACGUAGGAACCUGCCCAAGAGAGGGGGAUAACUAAGGGAAACUUUAGCUAAUACCGCAUAAUCUCUGAGGAGAAAAGUUGCCCGCAAGGGUAGCGCUUUUGGAGGGGCCUGCGUCCGAUUAGUUAGUUGGUGAGGUAAUGGCUCACCAAGACGAUGAUCGGUAACUGGUCUGAGAGGACGACCAGUCACACUGGGACUGAGACACGGCCCAGACUCCUACGGGAGGCAGCAGUGGGGAAUCUUGGACAAUGGGGGCAACCCUGAUCCAGCGAUGCCGCGUGGGUGAAGAAGGCCUUCGGGUUGUAAAGCCCUUUAGGCUGGGAAGAAGAGUGCGGGGUGAAUAAUCCUGUACUUUGACGGUACCAGCAGAAUAAGCACCGGCAAACUCUGUGCCAGCAGCCGCAGUAA
rnacentral:rRNA from 1 species